GAUGAACGCUGGCGGCGUGCCUAAUACAUGCAAGUCGAGCGAACGGACGAGAAGCUUGCUUCUCUGAUGUUAGCGGCGGACGGGUGAGUAACACGUGGAUAACCUACCUAUAAGACUGGGAUAACUUCGGGAAACCGGAGCUAAUACCGGAUAAUAUUUUGAACCGCAUGGUUCAAAAGGGAAAGGCGGUCUUGCUGUCACUUAUAGAUGGAUCCGCGCUGCAUUAGCUAGUUGGUAAGGUAACGGCUUACCAAGGCAACGAUGCAUAGCCGACCUGGGAGGGUGAUCGGCCACACUGGAACUGAGACACGGUCCAGACUCCUACGGGAGGGAGAAGUAGGGAAUCUUCCGCAAAGGGCGAAAGCCUGACGGAGCAACGCCGCGUGAGUGAUGAAGGUCUUCGGAUCGUAAAACUCUGUUAUUAGGGAAGAACAUAUGUGUAAGUAACUGUGAACAUCUUGACGGUACCGAAUCAGAAAGCCACGGCUAACUACGUG
rnacentral:rRNA from 1 species